rnacentral:lncRNA from 1 species
UAGUUUUGUGGCCUUUGUUACUUAAGUAAGUAAGCCCGAGGGGAUUGUCUCUACACCUAGCGCCCUAAGGUCUUAAUGGCUUGGUAGUCGUUGGUCGAAAGCUCGUUAAGGUAACACUGAAAAGCCUAAGGGAAUAAGACAAUGCAUAACCAUAAGAAAAAAUAAAUAAAAAAAAGAUAAAAAUAAUAAUAAAGCGGGAAGAGUGCAAAAAGCCCCCGUUAUAAAAAAAAAAGAAGAUGAAGCAUAAGUAUUCCAUGUUGACCCCUGGACUUUGUUAAGUGUUGAUUUUAGUCAAAGCUAGUUGUUUGAGGAGUUUCUGAAUUUCACUGUAUGUUGCCUUCAAAGAAAUCUAUUAUCUUUCGUAUUUUGCUUUUCAUUGGUUAACAUGGUUGUUAAACACACACACACGAUGUCAGUUAUAAUAGAUUGAGAUUUAUUGAUUGCUGGGAUAUUAUUGAUCUGCCUUACUAUGAUGUAUUAGCAUGUUUAUGUGAUUUUUCUGAGGCCUGAUGGAUAUAUGGUAUGCUAUUUAAUUGCUGGAAUUACG